GUCACACUGCCCCUGUCACACUGCCCCUGUCACACUGCCCCUGUCACACUGCCCCAGACACACUGCCCCAGACACACUAACCCCUGUCACACUGCCCCUGUCACACUGCCCCUACACACUGCCCCAGUCACACUGCCCCAGACACACUAACCCCAGUCACACUGCCCCAGUCACACUAACCCCUGUCACACUGCCCCUGUCACACUGCCCCAGACACACUGCCCCAGACACACUAACCCUUGUCACACUGCCCCAGUCAGACUGCCCCUGUCACACUGCCCCAGUCACACUGCCCCAGUCACACUGCCCCAGUCAGACUAACCCCUGUCACACUGCCCCAGUCACACUAACCCCAGUCACACUAACCCCUGUCACACUGCCCCAGACACACUGCCCCAGUCACACUAACCCCAGUCACACUGCCCCAGUCACACUAACCCCUGUCACACUGCCCCAGUCACACUGCCCCAGUCACACUAACCCCAGUCACACUGCCCCAGUCACACUAACCCCUGUCACACUGCCCCAGUCACACUAACCCCAGUCACACUAACCCCUGUCACACUGCCCCAGACACACUGCCCCAGUCACACUAACCCCUGUCACACUGCCCCAGUCACACUGCCCCAGUCACACUGCCUCAGUCACACUGCCCCAGACACACUGCCACAGUCACACUAACCCCAGUCACACUGCCCCAGUCACACUAACCCCUGUCACACUACCCCAGACACACUGCCCCAGUCACACUGCCCCAGUCACACUAACCCCUGUCACACUAACCCCUGUCACACUGCCCCAGACACACUGCCCCAGUCACACUGCCCCAGUCACACUGCCCCAGACACACUGCCCCAGUCACACUAACCCCUGUCACACUGCCCCAGUCACACUGCCCCAGUCACACUGCCCCAGUCACACUAACCCCUGUCACACUGCCCCAGUCACACUGCCCCAGACACACUGCCCCAGUCACACUAACCCCUGUCACACUGCCCCAGUCACACUGCCCCAGUCACACUGCCCCAGUCAGACUAACCCCUGUCACACUGCCCCAGUCACACUAACCCCAGUCACACUGCCCCAGACACACUAACCCCUGUCACACUAACCCCAGUCACACUGCUCCAGUCACACUGCCCCAGACACACUAACCCCAGUCAGACUAACCCCUGUCACACUGCCCCAGUCACACUAACCCCAGUCACACUGCCCCAGUCACACUGCUCCAGUCACACUAACCCCUGUCAAACUAACCCCUGUCACACUGCCCCAGUCACACUGCCCCAGUCACACUAACCCCUGUCACACUGCCCCAGUCACACUGCCCCAGACACACUAACCCCUGUCACACUGCCCCAGUCACACUGCCCCAGACACACUAACCCCUGUCACACUAACCCCAGUCACACUGCCCCAGUCACACUAAUCCCAGUCACACUGCCCCAGACACACUGUCCCAGUCACACUGCUCCAGUCACACUGCCCCAGACACACUAACCCCAGUCACACUAACCCCAGUCACACUGCCCCAGACACACUGCCCCAGACACACUGCCCCAGUCACACUGCCCCAGACACACUGCCCCAGACACACUGCCCCAGACACACUGCCCCAGUCACACUGCCCCAGUCACACUGCCCCAGACACAAAACGAAUUGCAAAUGUAUCCAACGAGUCAAAAGCUUGGUGUAGUCAUUGAGUGCUAGGAGUAUAAGACUAAAUACUAAACCUUUUUUACUACUUUAUUUAUAAGAAUCUUUAGAUGUGCCAAUAAUUUUGACCCCUACCUUUUUGAGAAAAAACAUUAUUACUUGUUAAACAAAAUCAAUUUUUCUGAGCAAUUGUAUUAGUACAAAAUUAUAUAUUUCCCCACAAUAUUUUGUAUACAACAUAGUUCAGUAUUUUAAUGAUGUAUUUUAUACAGUUAUUAUUGCUCAUCUUUAUCAAGGGUAUCAAUCAUUUCAGACCCCACUGUAUGAGGUGGAUCAUUUCCAGAUACUUAAAGAGAUGCAUUACAAGGAGGGGAGAGUGACCAAUUAACCAGCCUCGCUGAAACAGUCGUGUGGAACCUAAAUGUAGACAACCUCUACUAAAACGCAGUACAGAACUCACAUUAUUCCAGGGCGUAAAUGCGUACAGAUGGGGAUGCAGUCAGCCAGAGAGCUUUUAGAACCUAGCUGGCUUGACCAAUGUGUUUCUGACCUGUUUUAUC
rnacentral:lncRNA from 1 species